rnacentral:tRNA from 1 species
AAUAAAGUGCCUGAUCAAAAGGGCUAUCUUGAUAGGAUAGAUCAUACAAGUUUUGUCUUUAUUA